rnacentral:lncRNA from 1 species
GAUGUCUGCUUUCUCUCCUGGAGAUCAUUGGCCUGUGGGGACUGCUCUUUCCCAGGCCAUUCCUUCUCUCCUUUCUUGUUUUUACAUCCUCUUUGGCGGAGCGCUUUCUGCGGCUUCUUCCGCAAGGGGACGAUGGUUAUUUUCUGAAGACUGUGUAAGUCUGAACAUGUCGUUCUGCCCUCAUACGCUUUGAGUUGGAGCAAGGCCAUGUCAAGCAAACCUCUGCGAAGAGGACCACCAACAAGGGACCGAGUGUUUAAUGACCAGACCAUGUGCAACAUUUCACAUUCAAACCAGAGACAUUGUGUGCUCCACUGCCCCCGUUUUCACAGCAGCCUUGUGGUUUACACUGAGGUACUCACUGGAGAAAUCAAAGGGAGACCAUUUCACUGGUGUGCAGUCAGGAGCAAUUUUCUUGACCAAAUCAAGAUUUCCAUGUUCCUGGGUCUGAGGGGCAGAAGAAACAGAUACUCUGCUGCUGAUGCUCAGUCUUACCUGGUUCCCCUGGCAGAGGAAGAAGUGAAUUGGGGUUCUGAUGAUGUCAGCGAGCAGAAUUCAGAAAUCUGCUCUGUCUCUGUCAAUCAGGUUAGCGAUGAUGAUAACUCCACUGGAUAUGAGGCACGGCUUUGAAUGUGGCCCUACAGCUCAUGCAUUAGAAACCAUGUGUAACUUUACUGCAAUACCAAUCAAGGACCUCCAGAACUACACUGACUCCUCAAGGUGUAUGCAUCAAUCACGGAUCUGCUACCUCCAAU